CCACAAAACCUGGGCAGAAUUCAAAACUUGACGAAGAAGGAUAACAAAAAAGCUACUACAACCAUGGUCAACACUAGAGCCUCUGGAUCCGCACCUCGUGACGGAAAAGUGUAUGAGAGAACAUCCGCGAAGACAAAGCUACAAAAGAUCCCAAAGGCUCCGAGAGAUGGAAGUCAACAUGGGUGAGAGAAGGCCAUUGGAAUUGUGGACUAUCGACUAGAUAUAAGGGUGCGCUUAAGUAUUUAAGAGCUAAAAAGUAUUGUGUUGAAGUUGGCCGAAAAUAAUCACAGCUCCCUUUCCAAUAAAACAUCGACAUCCAAACAUUAUGCAACGGACAACAAGAAAAUGAUGAUCGACGUUGA